GACGAACGCUGGCGGCGUGCUUAACACAUGCAAGUCGAACGGAAAGGCCCUUCGGGGUACUCGAGUGGCGAACGGGUGAGUAACACGUGGGUGAUCUGCCCUGCACUUUGAGAUAAGCCUGGGAAACUGGGUCUAAUACCGAAUAGGACCACGCGCUUCAUGGUGUGUGGUGGAAAGCUUUUGCGGUGUGGGAUGGGCCCGCGGCCUAUCAGCUUGUUGGUGGGGUAAUGGCCUACCAAGGCGACGACGGGUAGCCGGCCUGAGAGGGUGACCGGCCACACUGGGACUGAGAUACGGCCCAGACUCCUACGGGAGGCAGCAGUGGGGAAUAUUGCACAAUGGGCGCAAGCCUGAUGCAGCGACGCCGCGUGAGGGAUGACGGCCUUCGGGUUGUAAACCUCUUUCAAUAGGGACGAAGCGCAAGGGACGGUACCUAUAGAAGAAGCACCGGCCAACUACGU
rnacentral:rRNA from 1 species